rnacentral:misc_RNA from 1 species
GGAAGGAUCAUUACUUGAUUCCGGGUGCUUAGGCGCCCGUCCUUAUGCCCUCAGCUGGCUGCUGGCUGGGGGUGUAUUCUUACCCUUGUCUAUACGCACCGUUCGUUUCCUAGGCGGGCAUAUCCUGCCCGCCAAUAGGACAAUAAUAAACCCUUUUGCAAUAGUAUACAUUGUCUGAUAAACCUAAAUUGUUACAACUUUCAACAAUGGAUCUCUUGGUUCUGGCAUCGAUGAAGAACGCAGCGAAAUGCGAUAAGUAGUGUGAAUUGCAGAAUUCAGUGAAUCAUCGAAUCUUUGAACGCACAUUGCGCCCCUUGGUAAUCCAUGGGGCAUGCCUGUUCGAGCGUCGUUUACGAAUUCAAGCUCUGCUUGGUGAUGGGUGCCUGUCCUGCCUUUGUGCAGUUGACUCGCCUUAACAGUAUUGGCAGCAGUCUUACCGGCUCCUUGCGCAGCAGUAUGCGCUUCUGGGGGUACUGGUCAGGCCGCGUCCACGAAGUCUUUUUUACUGUUGGACCUCGGAUCAGGUAGGGAUACCCGCUGAACUUAAGCAUAUCAAUAAGCGGAGGAAAAGAAACCAACUGGGAUUGCCCUAGUAACGGCGAGUGAAGCGGCAAUAGCUCAAAUUUGAAAUCUGGCUCUCUAUGGGGGCCCGAGUUGUAAUUUGCAGAGGGUGCUUUGGCAUGCCGUGGCGGUCUAAGUUCCUUGGAACAGGACAUCACAGAGGGUGAGAAUCCCGUAUGUGGUCGCUACCUUUGCCAUGUAAAGCCCCUUCGACGAGUCGAGUUGUUUGGGAAUGCAGCUCUAAAUGGGAGGUAAAUUUCUUCUAAAGCUAAAUACCGGCCAGAGACCGAUAGCGCACAAGUAGAGUGAUCGAAAGAUGAAAAGCACUUUGGAAAGAGAGUCAAAUAGCACGUGAAAUUGUUGAAAGGGAAGCGCUUAUAGCUAGACUUGCCCGCAGUUGCUCACCCAUUUUGGGGCACUCUUCUGCGGGCAGGCCAGCAUCAGUUUGGGCGGCUGGACAAUGGCCUCUGUCAUGUAUCUUCCUGCGGGAUGACCUUAUAGGGGAGGCGUAGUACGGCCAGCCUGGACUGAGGUCCGCGCGUUUGCUAGGAUGCUGGCGUAAUAGCUGUAAGCGGCCCGUCUUGAAACACGGACCAAGGAGUCUAACAUCUAUGCGAGUGUUUGGGUGUCAAGCCCGGGCGCGCAAUGAAAGUGAACGGAGGUGGGAACCCUUGGGUGCACCAUCGACCGAUCCUGAUGUCUUCGGAUGGAUUUGAGUAAGAGCAUAGCUGUUGGGACCCGAAAGAUGGUGAACUAUGCUUGAAUAGGGUGAAGCCAGAGGAAACUCUGGUGGAGGCUCGCAGCGGUUCUGACGUGCAAAUCGAUCGUCAAAUUUGGGCAUAGGGGCGAAAGACUAAUCGAACUAUCUAGUAGCUGGUUCCUGC